rnacentral:lncRNA from 1 species
CGCAGGGGUGUAUUUAAGGCGCGGAGAGGCCCGGCUCGUCCUCUCUGUCCGCCGGCUGCGGGCGCGUGUGUCCCGAGGCACCGGCGAGCUCUUCAGAUGCUCCCGAUGGGCAGGGGGAAGCGCUGGCGGUCUGCACUCCCGCCUUUGGACGCCUAUGGGUGAGGGGCACAGCCAGCUCAUCGCUCCUCUUACAGCCUGGGGCCGAGGCCUCACAUAGCAACCUCAUGCCUGAAAUGUUUUAG